rnacentral:ribozyme from 13 species
CUUCCUUUUCUUUCUCUUUCUCCUUUUUCUUUCCCUCUUCUUCUUCUUUCUUGAUCGCAUGUUCUUGUCCAACAAGGUGAGGAUAACUUUCAUAAAAAGAAUCAAAAGA